AGGCACCAAGGAGCUGACUGCAAAUGGAAUCCACCAAAUUGUUACCCGUCCUCAUGGAACGCACAACACGGGUCCCAAACACAACCAGCCCGCACCUGGAAGGCUUCCCAUCGCACAGCCUUCACCACAACAGGCCAGACGACCGCUUCACGGACGUGCUACAGCCUCCCGCCGCACCUCGAUACCGAAUUCAGUCUUAGUCGUACAGAAGAUUAAAGGCCGACGAAAAGCCAGUCAAGUUUUUCAACCUCUUCGGGACAUCUUGUCACCAGGACCUUCUGAACAGACAACAGCUUCUGAGACUGUUUAGGAAAUCCGUCCGUCUCAAGUCUCCAUCAGCCAACAGCCAGCCUUCAGAUUCUCUUCUAGUAGGAGAGAAACAAUGGGACUACUGUUAUGUGAAGAGAAUGGUAGGAGAAGAAGAGAUUUCUUAACAACUGUAAGAACAAGCCAAUUCCGUGCUUCUGAGGAAUUUGGAAUUCUCAUCAGCUCUUCGUUUACUGCCAAUGGAUAUUCUUCCUCCAGAAAAAAAAGGAUCUAUCGGUGACAGGAACUGUUCCUUCCUCCAUUUCUUCCAAACAGCAAGUUUCUGUUUGCUUACAACUGCAUCUGUCUUUAAGGCCGGGGUCACGUUCCAACUGAAGUGCUACAACACUAAAUGAAGAAUACUUGAAAGAGGUACCAAACAAAAACCAACAACCUACAAUAA